rnacentral:rRNA from 1 species
AGUGAACGCUGGCGGCGUGCCUAAUACAUGCAAGUCGAACGGAGAUUAAGUAGCUUGCUAUUUAAUCUUAGUGGCGCACGGGUGAGUAAUAUAUAGCUAACUUGCCCAUUACUAAGGGACAACAGUUGGAAACGACUGCUAAUACCUUAUACUCCGUAUCUAUAUAAGUAGAUACGGGAAAGUUUUUCGGUAAUGGAUAGGGCUAUAUCGUAUCAGCUAGUUGGUAAGGUAAUGGCUUACCAAGGCUAUGACGCGUAACUGGUCUGAGAGGAUGAUCAGUCACACUGGAACUGAGACACGGGCCAGACUCCGACGGGAGGCAGCAGUAGGGAAGAUUGAUCAAUGGGGGAAACCCUGAAGCAGCAACGGCGCGUGGAGGAUGACACUUUGCGGAGCGUAAACUCCUUUUCUUGGGAAAGAAUUAUGACGGUACCCAAUGAAUAAGCACCGGCUAACUCCGUG